GACGAACGCUGGCGGCGUGCUUAACACAUGCCAGUCGAACGCUGAAGCUCAGCUUUUGUUGGGUGGAUGAGUGGCGAACGGGUGAGUAACACGUGAGUAACCUGCCUCCUUCUUUGGGAUAACGCCCGGAAACGGGUGCUAAUACUGGAUAUUCACUGGUCUUCGCAUGGGGGUUGGUGGAAAGGGUUUUUCUGGUGGGGGAUGGGCUCGCGGCCUAUCAGCUUGUUGGUGGGGUGAUGGCCUACCAAGGCUUUGACGGGUAGCCGGCCUGAGAGGGUGACCGGUCACAUUGGGACUGAGAUACGGCCCAGACUCCUACGGGAGGCAGCAGUGGGGAAUAUUGCACAAUGGGCGCAAGCCUGAUGCAGCGACGCCGCGUGAGGGAUGGAGGCCUUCGGGUUGUGAACCUCUUUCGCUCAUGGUCAAGCCGCAACAAUGGUUGUGGUGAGGGUAGUGGGGAAAGAAGCGCCGGCUAACUACGU
rnacentral:rRNA from 1 species